AUUGAACGCUGGCGGCAGGCCUAACACAUGCAAGUCGAGCGGAUGAAGGGAGCUUGCUCCUGGAUUCAGCGGCGGACGGGUGAGUAAUGCCUAGGAAUCUGCCCGGUAGUGGGGGAUAACGUCCGGAAACGGGCGCUAAUACCGCAUACGUUCUGAGGGAGAAAGUGGGGGAUCUUCGGACCUCACGCUAUCAGAUGAGCCUAGGUCGGAUUAGCUAGUUGGUGGGGUAAAGGCAUACCAAGGCGACGAUCCGUAACUGGUCUGAGAGGAUGAUCAGUCACACUGGAACUGAGACACGGUCCAGACUCCUACGGGAGGCAGCAGUAGGGAAUAUUGGACAAAGGGCGAAAGCCUGAUCCAGCCAUGCCGCGUGUGUGAAGAAGGUCUUCGGAUUGUAAAGCACUUUAAGUUGGGAAGAAGGGCAGUAAGUUAAUACCUUGCUGUUUUGACGUUACCAACAGAAUAAGCACCGGCUAACUUCGUG
rnacentral:rRNA from 1 species